rnacentral:rRNA from 1 species
GGGGGGGGGGGGGGGGGGGGCUGGGGGGGGGGGGUGGGGGGGGGGGGGGGGGGGGGGUGGUGGGGCAGGCGGCGGACGUGUGCGUAAUGCCUAGGAAGCUGGCAGGUGGUGGGGGAUGACGUCCGGAGACGGGGACUGCUACGGCAUACGUCCUGAAGGAGAACAUUGGGGAUCAUCGCACCUCCCACUCACACGUGGAACUAGGCCGGCUUCGCAAAUUGAUGGGGUAAAAGCCUACCAAGGCGACGAUCCGUAACUGGACUGAGAGGAUGAUCAGUCACACUGGAACUGAGACACGGUCCAGACUCCUACGGGAGGCAGCAGUGGGGAAUAUUGGACAAUGGGCGAAAGCCUGAUCCAGCCAUGCCGCGUGUGUGAAGAAGGUCUUCGGAUUGUAAAGCACUUUAAGUUGGGAGGAAGGGCAGUAAGUUAAUACCUUGCUGUUUUGACGUUACCAACAGAAUAAGCACCGGCUAACUUCGUG